rnacentral:tRNA from 2 species
GGCCCGUUGGUCAAGUGGUUAAGACACCGCCUUUUCACGGCGGUAACACGGGUUCGAAUCCCGUACGGGUCACCA